rnacentral:lncRNA from 1 species
AGGAAAGGCACAAAGGCUGGCUCCUCCCACGCUCUCAGGCUCCUGGUCCUUUGGCUAGGAAGAGUACGUCACGUGGAGUUUUUGCUGUUUGCUCUCUGUGUUCUGCCUUUGGCCCACCAUUUAGGUAAAAGCCAGGAGACGAAGGAAGGAAAUGAGCAAACUCACUACUGUGUUGCUCCUUCUUCAAGUUUUGACUUCCUUCCGCAAAUCCCCUGCUCUUGUUUACUUUUCAGAGUCCUCGGGUAUUUUGUAUUCUGUCCAGAGUCUUUAGCCGUAAUUAAUGGGACGAAUAAGCUAAAGUGGGCUCACUCCAUCUUUGCUGGCAUCUGAAGCUUGGGAUUUGUUUUGAAUCAGCCUUCAACCCAGCCACACUACCCAGUACCUGCUGGUUCCCCGGCUCCUUCCUCUCCUCUUUACCUUCCACUGUGAUGAAGCGGCCCAUUGACUUCUAGGCACUUGACUUAUCUGCUUAGUGUCUUGGCCUUCGCUGGCAUUCUCCCUCCUGUGGGACAGCUCUUCAAACUCCCUCUCCAGGUAACACAUCUCUCUUGGUUUGUCCCUAGGACCCCCGAUGCCUGUGAACAAGUGCUGCCCUGCUUUGCUCUGCGGACACCACUUUCUUCUGGUCCUGGCCAGGACUAGCUGAACUUCACUUUUCUGGACCUUUUGUUAUGUUCCAGGAGAGCCCAUCGUGAGUCAGACUUAGUGGCCAUAAAAGACGAGACAGGACAGGGUGAGGGCUAAGGGAACGAACCCGGACAUCGAGGUGGCUCAAAGUGCACUGGAGAUUUUAACCCUGAAGAUCUCUCCAGACUGUUUAGAAUGAGAGGUGCUGGAGGAUAACCCCCUGCCCAAAAUGGCCUGAACCAUGGCUGUGGAGAAGACAGCGUCCUGUUUCUUGCUGACUGGAGGGUGUCUCUGCAGCAGAACAGAAAGAACGUCAGCGGAACAGAAAGGAGUCCCUGCUUUCAGAGGUGGCACAAAGCUCCAGAAUCACCACGGGCUUUGUGCUGGGUCAGCUGGCACCCACCUGGCAGGUAAUGAGGCAUGGGCACUGACCAGUGAGACUGAUGUUGGUCUUGGGGGCGGGAGCGGGGUCAGGGUCCUGAACAGCCUGAGGGGCCACUCCUUAGCCCAUUAGUUGCAUUGGGGGUAGGUCUAGGUGGGAAUCAAUUGAGAGCCUUGGGACGCCAGCUGUUUACUAACUCAACCUUUUAUAACCUGCACGGCCACACCAGAGGAUAUCAGGCAAACACUGGCCUUGUUGGCAAGCCCCUAACCAGAAUGACUUCCAGGUUUUAGGAAGAACAAGAGCGUUCGUUUGAAUAGAUGGUCUGAGAAGCAAGCUCCUAGAUGGAGCAUCAAGUGGAACGCCCAUCCCACAGGUGGAUUUCUCUCUCUCUCUCUCUCUCUGUUUCUCUCUCUCUUUCCUGAACAUGAAUUCCCCUCUGGUUUCUGCUGCUUCUUUGACUCUUAUCUUGUGUUACAUGUGUUUUUUUCUCUAAGUAUGUGGAUAGCCUUCUCAACUAGGUUGGACCUUUGUGUUAGUUCCGUUGCUGCCAAGCGACUCCAAAAUGUAGCAACUUAAUAAGUAUUUGUUAUCUCGCUUGGUCACUGAGGGUCAGAAAUCUGCGAGCAGCUUAACGCAGGGGUCUGGCCCAGGCCUCUCCCGAGGUCGCAGUCAAGCUGUCAGCCAAGACUGACUGCUGUCAUCUGAAGGCUGGACUGGGGCUGGAGAAUCAGCUUCCAUGCUCACUCCCCUGGCUGCGGCAGGAACCUUUAGUUCCUAAGUUCCUCUCUGUGCCUCACCAUGUGGGACUCUCCACAGGGCAGCAUGGCAGCAGGCUUCCAUGAGUGAGCAAUCCAAGAGACAGCAAGACAGAAGCCAACGUCUUUAAUAACCUAGAUUCUGAGUGGCACACCAUCGCUUUGGUCCUAUACUGUUGGCCACACAGACCGACCCUGAUACAAUGUGGGAGGGAUCCACACAAGGAAGCAGGCACCAGGAAACAGCAUUAUUGAGAGCCAUCUCAAAGGCUGCCUGGCUACCAUGAGCCUCCUCUGAGAGACGGCUGCUUCGGACACAUCUUUUCACUGCCAAUAUUUGACACAGGUCUGGUCAGGUAGGAGGUGCCCAAUGAGGUUUGUUGAUGAUGAAGAGAUGUUGGGCACUCACCAUAAGCUGGAAUUAAAUGAAAAGUCCUCCUGAGGAUGAGGCAUAAUCAGAAAUAUUUCUUAAUAGACAUAAUUAAUACUGCAGAAUAUUUUUCUGAUUUUCAAUUGUUUUCAUUUAUAUUAAUAAAGUAAGGCUUGGGCCUAAGUAGGAUAAAAUU